rnacentral:rRNA from 1 species
UAACGGCUAUCCAACCGAUCAUUACCUGGAACUCAAUUGCUGCAUACGGACGCAGCGUGUAUCUCAAGUUCGAUCUUGGAAUGUCUGGCUUCACUCCUACGGGUCACCUGGUACACUGUCGAGGACUUUGAAUCUGUACGACGUGAAUGCGGGAAUUGCCAGAUGGAAGGCGCGUGAACUUUGCUUACUUGAUCAUGUGACGGACGACCAGUGAGCGCGUAGGUGGGACCUUUCUGGGUUCCUGUACCUUGUUCACUUAUAGUCCUGUACAGCCUGCGGGAGGCAAAGCUAGGACUUAGAUGACCCAGUUAGUCCCCGCCCGUCAAUCGAUUCAGCGGCUAAGAGUUAGAAGCGUUUCCGUCCCUUUAGUGCUGAAGUUAUCGCAUUUAGAGCACUCCUGCCCUCGGGAGUACGGCCGCGAGGGCUGAAAACUCAAAAGGAAUUGACGCGGGCCCGCACAAGCGGUGGAGCAUGUGGUUUAAUUUCGAAGCAACGCGAAGAACCUUACCAGGUCUUGACAUCCUCUGAAAACCCUAGAGAUAGGGCUUCUCCUUCGGGAGCAGAGUGACAGAUGGUGCAUGGUUGUCGUCAGCUCGUGUCGUGAGAUGUUGGGUUAAGUCCCGCAACGAGCGCAACCCUUGAUCUUAGUUGCCAUCAUUAAGUUGGGCACUCUAAGGUGACUGCCGGUGACAAACCGGAGGAAGGUGGGGAUGACGUCAAAUCAUCAUGCCCCUUAUGACCUGGGCUACACACGUGCUACAAUGGACGGUACAAAGAGCUGCAAGACCGCGAGGUGGAGCUAAUCUCAUAAAACCGUUCUCAGUUCGGAUUGUAGGCUGCAACUCGCCUACAUGAAGCUGGAAUCGCUAGUAAUCGCGGAUCAGCAUGCCGCGGUGAAUACGUUCCCGGGCCUUGUACACACCGCCCGUCACACCACGAGAGUUUGUAACACCCGAAGUCGGUGGGGUAACCUUUUGGAGCCAGCCGCCUAAGUGACACGCUACCAUCCCUUUC